rnacentral:rRNA from 1 species
UACGGAAGGCAGCAGUGGGGAAUAUUGCACAAUGGGCGAAAGCCUGAUGCAGCUAUGCCGCGUGUAUGAAGAAGGCCUUAGGGUUGUAAAGUACUUUCAUCGGGGAGGAAAAACAAAACUAAUAAUUUUAUUUCUUGACGUUACCCGAAAAAGAAGCACCGGCUAACUCCGUGCCAGCAGCCGCGGUAAUACGGAGGGUGCUAGCGUUAAUCAGAAUUACUGGGCGUAAAGAGCACGUAGGUGGUUUUUUUAAGUCAGAUGUGAAAUCCCUGGGCUUAACCUAGGAACUGCAUUUUGAAACUGAAAUACUAGAGUAUCGUAGAGGGAGGUAGAAUUCUAGGUGUAGCGGUGAAAUGCGUAGAUAUCUGGAGGAAUACCUGUGGCGAAAGCGGCCUCCUAAACGAAUACUGACACUGAGGUGCGAAAAGCGUGGGGAGCGAAACAGGGAUUAGAUACCCGU